CCUCCGGGAUUCCUCAGCCCCCUGUACUCCAAGGGGUUCUCGGCCCCGCCAGAGGGGGGCGCUGGAGGGAGCCUUGUCCCUUGCUCCCUGAGAAGCCUGCAACCUGGAGCUGUCAACACCAGUCCAGGGAGAUGGGAUGACGUAGGAGGGACAGACAAGGGAGCCGGGCCCAGAAAAACUCCCGAGAGGAGCAUCCAACUGCAGCAGGAGAGACUGGAGGGAGACUGCAGUAGUGAUGGAGCGUCUCAUAAUCUGCAGACAAUGGAGGACGUCGCUGUGCUCCCCACACCCCCAAGGCCUCCAGUGCCUGUUCUCCAGCUGGGGAGCGUGGGCAGCUGCCUGCUCCAAGGUCAGACUCAACUCCCUGCCUGUCCACCAACCCAGAGGAGAGGCUGCAGAUCCACGGACCGUGGCAGGGGCCCAGGAUGCAGAUGGAGCCCAGGCAGGGGGGCUCAGGGACGUCUGGCAGGCUUGGCUGUCUGCAUUUGACUGUGUCGCCAUCAGACUGGGCGCUUCCUGAGUUCAGAGUUGUGCCUCCAUCAUCAGACCAUGGGAACUGCCUCUCUCAUCAGGCCAGGAUCUCCCCAAAGAUGGAACCUAAGUAUCUCCCAGAUUGAGCUCAAUAAGCCCCACGGAUAAUGCCCCAAGAGAAGACAGAGAGCUGGGGAGUACAGUCCCUGUAUCAAGCCCAGUCCCUCUCCUGGUGACCUGUGCAGGUGUCCAACAGAAUGAGCUGUGGGUUGGGUGUCUGGACACCUGAGUUCCAAUCUUGACUCAGUGUGACUCAGGAAAACGUUUGCUUUCUGGGGUUCAGGUACCCAAUCUCUAAUGUGAGUCGGCCCCAGGGCAACUCAUGGCCCUGCCCUCGGCCGUCACAUCUCCAGGGACGUCCAUCUCCAGGGUCCUGUGUGGCCCCUGUCAUUUCCCCUGACUCUGGCCCACCCGCCCAUCCCCACUUUAAGCUUGUUAAUUGACCGGCUGCCAGCUGCAUCCUCCUCCCUCAGCCACGUGGAGGGAAUGAGGAGGGUCAGUGGGCCACAUGUCCUGGGUUAUUACAUUGAAUAAGCUGACAAAAGCCAUCAGAAGAUAUAUUGUUUAACAGGAGAUUAAAAACCAAUGAGAGCGGCUGGGGUUCUGACCCCGAGUCUCUGCGUUUUUAAUUUAAUUUCUUUUGCUGCUCAAAUCACCACAUUCUAAAAUGAUAAAAGUAGCUGUGUUUGCUCAAGGGUUUUAUCAUUAAUUGAUUUGGCUGAAGUUUUCCCAUAAGACACAUCUACUGGAACACACUUCUCAUUUUAAGCUGCUAGAUUCAGUGAGAAGGGAAAGGUCAGGGGCCGGGGUCCAGGGUCACCUUGGCAAGCAUCUCCCUAUAGGUCAGUAGGCCCAGGUCCUAUGCAGAACCCCUGGCCCUCGGGGCAGCCUUCUCCCUACCCUUCAAGCUAGAGGCCAGAGUCUGCCUGGUCUCCCUCCACCUUAGGUGGGUCAGAGCCUGGGCAAUCCCGGGCUCCAGGGGCAGGUUUCUGGUCAGGCCUCAUCUGCUAAAUCCUUGCUAUUCAGUGGAGAUCAGACCCACUUGGCCCCCCACUUCCCUAACAGACCUUCCCCUCUGUCUGUCCCUCCCUUCCCCAUCUCCACCGGGGCCCCUUCCUGGGCCGGGGUCUCCAUGCACUCCAGGACAGGCCUCAGCAGCUGAUGGCAGCUGGUCCUGGCUCUUGGUUGCGGGAUCAGAAAACCUUCAUGGAAAAGAGAUGUUUGUGCCUCACCUUGAAAGAUAAGGAAGAUUAAACAAUGACAAUGUGUCAAAUUUCUGAUGACAUAUAGUAACAGAUGUGCCUAUCGUAUUAACAGAACACUUGAAAAUUGCAGACAGGUCUUACACGUGAGCAUGAACCCUCCUGGGUGCACAUGCGGGGCCACUGAUUGGAGCCUGUCCCCCAGGGCAGGAGGUGGGGGUCCCAGUAGUGUCCAGAGGGCUGAAGCAUGUUAGACAUGGCUGGCGGACCCUACUCCACCCUUACUCAGCAGGCGGCUCUCUUGGUCUCAGCCUCGUUGUCUCGGUGAGGCUGGA